rnacentral:rRNA from 2 species
AACUCCGGGAAACCGGGGCUAAUACCGGAUAACAUUUUGAACCGCAUGGUUCGAAAUUGAAAGGCGGCUUCGGCUGUCACUUAUGGAUGGACCCGCGUCGCAUUAGCUAGUUGGUGAGGUAACGGCUCACCAAGGCAACGAUGCGUAGCCGACCUGAGAGGGUGAUCGGCCACACUGGGACUGAGACACGGCCCAGACUCCUACGGGAGGCAGCAGUAGGGAAUCUUCCGCAAUGGACGAAAGUCUGACGGAGCAACGCCGCGUGAGUGAUGAAGGCUUUCGGGUCGUAAAACUCUGUUGUUAGGGAAGAACAAGUGCUAGUUGAAUAAGCUGGCACCUUGACGGUACCUAACCAGAAAGCCACGGCUAACUACGUGCCAGCAGCCGCGGUAAUACGUAGGUGGCAAGCGUUAUCCGGAAUUAUUGGGCGUAAAGCGCGCGCAGGUGGUUUCUUAAGUCUGAUGUGAAAGCCCACGGCUCAACCGUGGAGGGUCAUUGGAAACUGGGAGACUUGAGUGCAGAAGAGGAAAGUGGAAUUCCAUGUGUAGCGGUGAAAUGCGUAGAGAUAUGGAGGAACACCAGUGGCGAAGGCGACUUUCUGGUCUGUAACUGACA